rnacentral:rRNA from 2 species
GCUUGCAUCAUGAUUUACAUUUGAGUGAGUGGCGAACUGGUGAGUAACACGUGGGAAACCUGCCCAGAAGCGGGGGAUAACACCUGGAAACAGAUGCUAAUACCGCAUAACAACUUGGACCGCAUGGUCCGAGUUUGAAAGAUGGCUUCGGCUAUCACUUUUGGAUGGUCCCGCGGCGUAUUAGCUAGAUGGUGAGGUAACGGCUCACCAUGGCAAUGAUACGUAGCCGACCUGAGAGGGUAAUCGGCCACAUUGGGACUGAGACACGGCCCAAACUCCUACGGGAGGCAGCAGUAGGGAAUCUUCCACAAUGGACGAAAGUCUGAUGGAGCAACGCCGCGUGAGUGAAGAAGGGUUUCGGCUCGUAAAACUCUGUUGUUAAAGAAGAACAUAUCUGAGAGUAACUGUUCAGGUAUUGACGGUAUUUAACCAGAAAGCCACGGCUAACUACGUGCCAGCAGCCGCGGUAAUACGUAGGUGGCAAGCGUUGUCCGGAUUUAUUGGGCGUAAAGCGAGCGCAGGCGGUUUUUUAAGUCUGAUGUGAAAGCCUUCGGCUCAACCGAAGAAGUGCAUCGGAAACUGGGAAACUUGAGUGCAGAAGAGGACAGUGGAACUCCAUGUGUAGCGGUGAAAUGCGUAGAUAUAUGGAAGAACACCAGUGGCGAAGGCGGCUGUCUGGUCUGUAACUGACGCUGAGGCUCGAAAGUAUGGGUAGCAAACAGGAUUAGAUACCCUGGUAGUCCAUACCGUAAACGAUGAAUGCUAAGUGUUGGAGGGUUUCCGCCCUUCAGUGCUGCAGCUAACGCAUUAAGCAUUCCGCCUGGGGAGUACGGCCGCAAGGCUGAAACUCAAAGGAAUUGACGGGGGCCCGCACAAGCGGUGGAGCAUGUGGUUUAAUUCGAAGCUACGCGAAGAACCUUACCAGGUCUUGACAUACUAUGCAAAUCUAAGAGAUUAGACGUUCCCUUCGGGGACAUGGAUACAGGUGGUGCAUGGUUGUCGUCAGCUCGUGUCGUGAGAUGUUGGGUUAAGUCCCGCAACGAGCGCAACCCUUAUUAUCAGUUGCCAGCAUUAAGUUGGGCACUCUGGUGAGACUGCCGGUGACAAACCGGAGGAAGGUGGGGAUGACGUCAAAUCAUCAUGCCCCUUAUGACCUGGGCUACACACGUGCUACAAUGGAUGGUACAACGAGUUGCGAACUCGCGAGAGUAAGCUAAUCUCUUAAAGCCAUUCUCAGUUCGGAUUGUAGGCUGCAACUCGCCUACAUGAAGUCGGAAUCGCUAGUAAUCGCGGAUCAGCAUGCCGCGGUGAAUACGUUCCCGGGCCUUGUACACACCGCCCGUCACACCAUGAGAGUUUGUAACACCCAAAGUCGGUGGG